UACGUAGGGGGCAAGCGUUGUCCGGAAUCAUUGGGCGUAAAGAGCGCGUAGGCGGUCCGGUAAGUCGGUUGUGAAAACUGGGGGCUCAACCCUCAGAGGCCGACCGAUACUGUCGGGCUAGAGUCCGGAAGAGGCGAGUGGAAUUCCUGGUGUAGCGGUGAAAUGCGUAGAUAUCGAGAGGAACACCUGCGGCGAAGGCGGGUAGCUGGGCCGACACUGACGCUGAUGCGCGAAAGCCAGGGGAGCGAACGGG
rnacentral:rRNA from 1 species